rnacentral:rRNA from 10 species
UCCUACAGCCAUACUACCCUCAAAACACCUGAUCUCAGAAGUGAAGCAGGGUCAGGCCUGGUUAGUACCCGGCCGGGAG